UGGUCACUUCUAGUUCAACAGAAUCCC
rnacentral:piRNA from 1 species